GUGGUGGUUUAUUGUGGCUCACAAUUCAACGGAGAGAAUGGUGGUUUUCACGGCGAUCAAGACGCAUUCGAUGAUCCAAAGUGUAAGCAUUGCAAUAAAUCUGUUACUGGUCUGAUUUGUAUUCUUCGCCGAAGGGAUUUUCAUUGAUUCGGCUAAGAGAUUCACAAUUGGACCUGAUUUCAAACGUGGCCUUGCUCUCUUCUCGACGGUUGCUUGAUUGAGAAGACAAAAGUCUUUUAGCUUUGGGUCCUAGAAAGACGGCAUCUGUAAUGGCUGUGAUGGAGAACUUAAGCUCUCAACGCUCCUUCAUGGUGCUUCAUAUCUAUGCUGAUGAAUGAAGGGCAGAGAAAUUGUUUUGGGUAGAUAUCUUUCUCUCUUCUAGUUGAACUUGAAUCACUUCUUUCGAAAGGAUAGCAGUACACAGGUUCUGACAAUGUGGCAGUGAAGUUUGUAAAGAUUGAUGAUAAAUGUGUAGGUUUUCCAUGCCAGUUGAUGUUUCAACAAUGCAGAAAUGAACUUCUUAAAGAUUUCUGACAAAAGAUAUUUUCAACAUAACACUCUGAAUACCAGUGUGUGUGAGUGCGUGCAUGUAAGUGUCUGCGAAGUCAGUGUGGCUCUAUAUUCGUGGUAUGGGAUGGGGAAUUCUCUGAGAUCUUUCCACAAAGCUUUGCCUUGUAAAUUACAUGAGAAGGAGAAUGCCUUGUGAGUAAUGGGGUAGAAUGAUGUUGUACAUGGCCCCACCUGAUAGUUGACAUGUUGGGAUCUCCCAGUGUAUCACGUGCUGGUGUCUUCGAGGUGGUUGCGGCUGGAUAGAAUAGCAUCCCUAGGGCAAUAUGUCUCAAUGUGUACCUAUGAGCAAUGAGCAAGUAUGUGUGUGCCUAUGAACAACUGUGGAAAUGAAUGCUUAUGAAGAACAAUACUUGAGUCAAUACUGAUUUUUACAGGUUUUCUAUUAUAUGGAAAUGGGUUACUCCUCGACAUAAUAGUACUAUUGAGUUCUUAUCUAUUUUGCAUAAAAAAGGGCUACAUCCUGAGAAGGUGGUUCGUCACCAUGCCUAUAUAUAUAGACGCACGUAUAUGUUUUCAUUGAGAGGUCAUUCCUCACCAAGUUUUGAGGAUAUACAUAGCUGCAAGAGAGACGGUGAUAUCUCCCCAUGCACAUGUGUGUUCUUUCAAUAUUUACAUGAAACGUUUUCAUUGCAUCUUCGAUAUCAUUAUCUUUCGUUCACUGUCUUGUCACAACUACCU